rnacentral:rRNA from 1 species
GAUGAACGCUAGCGGCAGGCUUAAUACAUGCAAGUCAAGGGGGUAGCAAUACAACCGGCGCACGGGUGAGUAACACGUACACAACAUACCAUAUACUGAGGUAUAGCUUCGGGAAACUGAAGGUAAUCCCUCAUAGUAUUGUGAAAGGGCAUCUUUUUACAAUUAAAGUUUCGACGGUAUAUGAUUGGUGUGCGUUUGAUUAGCUAGUUGGUAGGGUAACGGCCUACCAAGGCAACGAUCAAUAGCUGGCGUGAGAGCGCGACCAGCCACACUGGAACUGAGACACGGUCCAGACUCCUACGGGAGGCAGCAGUAGGGAAUAUUGGACAAUGGGCGAAAGCCUGAUCCAGCCAUGCCGCGUGAUAGAUGAAGGCCCUCUGGGUUGUAAAUAUCUUUUUAUCUAGGAAGAAACACUUCUAUUCUUAGAAGCUUGACGGUACCAGAGGAAUAAGCACCGGCUAACUCCGUGCCAGCAGCCGCGGUAAAGUAUCGUACGC